rnacentral:rRNA from 1 species
AUGAACCGUGGCAAACCCUCAGACGACCCUUCUAAGAUAAGGGGGGAGAUCCUCAGUAGUGGUGACCCUUUGACUCUUCCACUAACUUAUAUAUGUACCGAAUGCUCAUGCGGGAAGUGAACUCCUGGGUCUGGAACCUGGGGGUUGCUCCGAGAAAAAAUCCUUUCUUUCUCGUCCACUCUAGAGGCUGUGUCUUAG